UCCUUUGCCUGCUUUCUGUGUCUAUCUUUAUUAGACAUAUUCAUGUAUUUAAUAUAUUCAUACAAGCCUUUGAACUCAUGGCAACUUUAGCUUAAACUGCUGAGUUCAAGAAUUGUAACUUGUGAUUCUAAUUACUAUUUUCCCUCAUUUUUGAUUUUUUUGUGUUGUGUUGCUUUUUAUCUCAUUGCAUAAAGUUCUCAAAUGGUUAAUGACAGCAGUACAUUAUUUUCCUUUCUGUGGCUAAAUAAUAGAAAAUCAGAGACUUGAUGUUAGCCAGGGUGUGCUGUGCUACUGUUGCAGGUAGACCCUGCAAUGUCUUUCCAUCAGUUUUAGAGUACUCAUUUCCUCAGACACCUAAUUUUUAAGUUUAAAAUGUCCAAAGUCCUUAGACUUGGUGUGGUAGUGUGCGUCUUUAAUCCCAGCAUUUAAGAGGCAGAGGCAGGUGGAUCUUUGAGUUCCAGGGAUGCCAGGGCUAGCUAGAGAGACCAUGACUCAUAAAGCAGAACAAAACAAAACAAAAAAUUCUGUUUUCCAACCUUCUGUAAUAUAAAUAUUACAAGAUGAUUACUGACAGUCAUCAUUGGGGGCAAUAUUUACCGUAAGCUUCUUCCUUCUAUCCAACUGGACCUUCACUUUACAAUUUUAUUAAUUUGACAACUCUGUCAAUCAUUUCCCUUUAUGUAUGGAUUCCAUGUAUGAAGCCAACUUUGUUGUUGUUUAGGAAAAGCCAUCUUGUUCUCCUUGCCACACACUACUCAUGUGGACCAGCAAGGCAUGGUUUGGAGAUCAGCCUCCAAUUUUCUGGUUCCUUUCUCAGGUUGUUAAGAGUAGAAAGGCAUUCAAUUUCUUAUAACACAUUUGAAGGUACUAUAAAUUCAAGCUCAAAAUGAGUAGUCACUGGUAUUCUCACAUACCAAAUAUUAAUAAGCAUUAUGAAGUACUCAAAUUAGAAACACGAACCAGAUAAAAGAAAAACAAAACAAUCCAAAGAUGCCGUUAACACCCUACCUGUGUUAAGGAUCUAACGAAUUCAGACAAUUAAACAGGUAGAUAAUAUCAGCAUAUAUAAAAACUAGGAACUCAGCCAUGCAAUAAAAUAUGAAAAGCACAAGGAUAGAGCUGAAAGUACCAUAGUGAGUGGCAAACAGUAAAGGAAAGAACACUAGGAAGGGUCUGGAAGACGGAAGCCUCAGCAAACAGGAGGCUGCCAGAAGUUUGAGCAUGAAGAAAGACGUCAAAACACUGAAGGCCUGAGGGGUGACUCACCAGGUGAAAGAUAUCAAAACACUGAAGGCCUGAGGGGUGACUCACCAGGUGAAAGACAUCAAAACACUGAAGGCCUGUGGGGUGACUCAUCAAGUGAAAGCACCUGGAGCCCAGUCUAAUGACACUCUAAUGUCCAUGGUACCACGGAACAACUGUUCUUGAAUUCCCCUCUUGCUUAGGCACAGGACUGCAUUUGGUCCCAAACAUACAACACUGACUCAAGGAGAAAAUUAAAAGAAAAGACAGACAGAAAAAAAAAAAAAAACAAAAA